rnacentral:tRNA from 1 species
GCCUCCACAGCUCAGUGGCAGAGCGUUUGUCUUGUAAACAGAAGGUCUGUGGUUCGAUCCCGAAUGGAGGCA